GACGAACGCUGGCGGCGUGCUUAACACAUGCAAGUCGAACGGAAAGGCCCUGCUUGCAGGGUACUCGAGUGGCGAACGGGUGAGUAACACGUGGGUGAUCUGCCCUGCACUUCGGGAUAAGCUUGGGAAACUGGGUCUAAUACCGGAUAGGAACCAUCUUUAGUGUGGUGGUUGGAAAGUUUUUUCGGUGUAGGAUGAGCUCGCGGCCUAUCAGCUUGUUGGUGGGGUAAUGGCCUACCAAGGCGGCGACGGGUAGCCGGCCUGAGAGGGUGUACGGCCACAGUGGGACUGAGAUACGGCCCAGACUCCUACGGGAGGCAGCAGUGGGGAAUAUUGCACAAUGGGCGCAAGCCUGAUGCAGCGACGCCGCGUGGGGGAUGAAGGCCUUCGGGUUGUAAACUCCUUUCGCUAGGGACGAAGCUUUUUGUGACGGUACCUAGAGAAGAAGCACCGGCUAACUACGUG
rnacentral:rRNA from 1 species